AGGGCAGUUCAGUUGGUGAGAGCGUUGUGCUAAUAACGCAAACGUCGUGGGUUCCAUCCCCAUCUCU
rnacentral:tRNA from 1 species